rnacentral:rRNA from 3 species
GGGCGUUAAGUUGCAGGGUAUAGACCCGAAACCCGGUGAUCUAGCCAUGGGCAGGUUGAAGGUUGGGUAACACUAACUGGAGGACCGAACCGACUAAUGUUGAAAAAUUAGCGGAUGACCUGUGGCUGGGGGUGAAAGGCCAAUCAAACCGGGAGAUAGCUGGUUCUCCCCGAAAGCUAUUUAGGUAGCGCCUCGUGAAUUCAUCUCCGGGGGUAGAGCACUGUUUCGGCUAGGGGGCCAUCCCGGCUUACCAACCCGAUGCAAACUGCGAAUACCGGAGAAUGUUAUCACGGGAGACACACGGCGGGUGCUAACGUCCGUCGUGAAGAGGGAAACAACCCAGACCGCCAGCUAAGGUCCCAAAGUCAUGGUUAAGUGGGAAACGAUGUGGGAAGGCCCAGACAGCCAGGAUGUUGGCUUAGAAGCAGCCAUCAUUUAAAGAAAGCGUAAUAGCUCACUGGUCGAGUCGGCCUGCGCGGAAGAUGUAACGGGGCUAAACCAUGCACCGAAGCUGCGGCAGCGACGCUGAUGCGUUGUUGGGUAGGGGAGCGUUCUGUAAGCCUGUGAAGGUGGCCUGUGAGGGUUGCUGGAGGUAUCAGAAGUGCGAAUGCUGACAUAAGUAACGAUAAAGCGGGUGAAAAGCCCGCUCGCCGGAAGACCAAGGGUUCCUGUCCAACGUUAAUCGGGGCAGGGUGAGUCGACCCCUAAGGCGAGGCCGAAAGGCGUAGUCGAUGGGAAACGGGUUAAUAUUCCCGUA